GAUGAAGAACGUAGCGAAAUGCGAUAAGUAAUGUGAAUUGCAGAAUUCAGUGAAUCAUCGAAUCUUUGAACGCACAUUGCGCCCGCUAGUAUUCUGGCGGGCAUGCCUGUCCAAGCGUCAUUUCAACCCUCAAGCCCCCGGGCUUGGUGUUGGGGAUCGGCGAGCCUCCGCGCCCGCCGUCCCCUAAAUCUAGUGGCGGUCUCGCUGUAGCUUCCUCUGCGUAGUAGCACACCUCGCACUGGGAAACAGCGCGGCCACGCCGUUAAACCCCCAACUUCUGAACGUUUGACCUCGGAUCAGGUAGGAAUACCCGCUGAACUUAAGCAUAUCAAUAAGCGGAGGA
rnacentral:misc_RNA from 1 species